GAUGAACGCUGGCGGCGUGCCUAAUACAUGCAAGUCGAACGCGGGCACUUGUGCCCGAGUGGCGAACGGGUGAGUAAUACAUAAGUAACCUGGCCUUUACAGGGGGAUAACUGCUGGAAACGGCAGCUAAGACCGCAUAGGUAGGGACACUGCAUGGUGACCGUAUUAAAAGUGCUGCAAGGCACUGGUAGAGGAUGGACUUAUGGCGCAUUAGCUGGUUGGUGAGGUAACGGCUCACCAAGGCGACGAUGCGUAGCCGACCUGAGAGGGUGAACGGCCACAUUGGGACUGAGACACGGCCCAA
rnacentral:rRNA from 1 species